AAGGUAUUAGCCCAGCUGGGAGUUCUCUACACUGGCAAUAUAGAGGUCAGCGGUCCGGACCCGCCAUGCUCUUCCA
rnacentral:tRNA from 1 species